UACGUAGGGAGCGAGCGUUGUCCGGAAUUAUUGGGCGUAAAGAGCUCGUAGGCGGUUCGUCGCGUCGGCUGUGAAAACCUGAGGCUCAACCUCAGGCCUGCAGUCGAUACGGGCGGACUUGAGUACUGCAGGGGAGACUGGAAUUCCUGGUGUAGCGGUGAAAUGCGCAGAUAUCAGGAGGAACACCGGUGGCGAAGGCGGGUCUCUGGGCAGUAACUGACGCUGAGGAGCGAAAGCGUGGGGAGCGAACAGG
rnacentral:rRNA from 1 species